rnacentral:lncRNA from 1 species
AUGGAUUAUUUUGAAAACAGGUUUAAAGAAAAGUAGAAUCUUUAGAAUGGAGUUGGAUGAUCAAUGAGAAGUUUGAUAGCAGAAGCCUACUGCUGCUUCUGCUCAUUCUCAAAAGAUCUUUGCCCCUAUCUUUUCUUCUGAGACCAAAAACCGAGGAAGGUAGAAGAGGGUUGGAAAGAAAAGUCCUUACUCUUAUUGCUCAUCAAAUUCUUAAGAGAUUGAUUUUGUUAAGGAUCCCAUGAGUAACCCCUGGAAUUAUAACAAACUCAUAAAACCAUGUGUAAACAAAGACCUUGUAUAAACAACACUUAUAGAAAUGCCUCCAGAUGUUCUUUAGGGAGGUGGGUGCACUAAAGAACAACUAGGCCUUUAAAAAUACUCUCAGCUGGGUGCAUUGCCCCACACCAGUAGUCCUAGCUACUUGGGAGGCUGAAGCAGGAGGAUCACAAGUUCAAGGUUAUCUUAAGCAACUUAGACUGUCUCAGAAAAAAACAAAAAACUAGGAAUGUAGGGCAUGUAGUUCAGUGAAGGAGCACCCCAGAUUUAAACUGUAAAAGUCAAAGGUUUAAAUAUUUGUGCCUGAGUGCUCUUUUUAGUAUCCUUAAGUCAAUAUAAUUGUUUUGUGAUAAAGACCAUUUGUUGUUUCUUAAACCCCUAUUAUGUGAUUUUUUCAUUUGUUCUUUUUUUCUAUUGAGAUAAUCAUGUGAUUCUUGUCUUUAAAUCUAUUGAUGUUCAACCCCCUAUUUUAAAGGACAAGUGGUUAUCUCACAAAGAUUUUAUGGUCUAGUCUCAUUUACAGCUGAGUCUAGCCAUUCGAUUAGUUUCUAGCUAGAGGAUUGAAAGUUGAAAUGUGUGCACUUUAGUAGAAAGGUCCUCUCUUCUUGGUUGGAAUUUGGACAUCGCGGUUUGAGCAACAAUCAUUGUUUUGGAAUGUGGGGUGAUUUUUAACAGAAGCCAUACAGUGCUAAAACAAGAUGGAAGCUUGGACUUGUGACAAUAUUAAACACCUGUGUAUCAGACCUGCACCGAGUACCUCUGCAUUUUUUUUUUAAACAUGGAACAUUUCACAAAUGUGCUUGUUAUGUGUAUGCAGGGAGGCAUGAUAAAUCUCUAUAUAUCAUUCCAAUUCUAC